rnacentral:tRNA from 1 species
ACCCGAGUGGCUUAGUUGGUUAGGCGUCCAACUCUUGAUUUUGGCUCCAGUCAUGAUUUCACAGUUCGUGGGUUCGAGCCCCACCUCAGGCU